rnacentral:lncRNA from 1 species
AGAAGAUGUGCAAAUCAAAAGUGAACCAAACAUAUAUAAUGAAAUGAAGGUAUGGAAAGAAGACUUUGAAAUUUGAACAUGUGAUUGAAAUUUUGAUUUCCUCCUCUCCUUAUAUGUGAUAUUUAUUAGGCUCAUUCCCUGUAUCUCUUUGUACUUUCAUUUUCACUUCUAUCUUGUAAAUUGUAAUUGUGGAUCAUUUCUUUUUUAUAUAG